rnacentral:rRNA from 1 species
GAUGAACGCUGGCGGCGUGCCUAAUACAUGCAAGUCGAGCGAACAGAUCCUGCUCUUGCUCCUCUCACGUUUGCCGCGGACGUGUGAAUCACGCGUGGAUCCCCUACUUAUCAUUCUGAUAUAACUUCGGAACUCCGGAUCUAAUCCCGUAUAAUCUCUUGAACCGCAUGGUUCAAUGGUGAAAGACGGUUUUUCUGUCUCUUCUCGAUGCAUCCGCGCCGGAUUAGCUAGUUGGUAAGGUAACGGCCUACCAAGGCAACCAUGCGUAGCCGACCUGAGAGAGUGAUAGGCCACAUGGGAACGGAGACACGGUCAAGACGCCUAAGGGAGGCAGCAGUAGGGAAUCGUCCGCAAUGGGCGAAAGCAUGACGGAGCAACGCCGCGUGAGUGAUGAAGGUCUUCGGAGCGGAAAAAUCUGUUAUUAGGGAAGAACAAAUGUGGAAGUAACUAUGCACGUCGUGACGGUACCUAAUCAGAAAGCAACGGCUAACUACGUG